GACGAACGCUGACGGUGUGCUUUAGACAUGCAAGUCGAACGAGAAAGCCCUUCGGGUGAGUACAGUGGCGAACGGGUGAGUAACACGUGGGCAAUCUGCCCCUCGCAGGGGGAUAACCGGGGGAAACCCCGGCUAAUACCCCGUACGCUUGUGGAGUCGCAUGGCUCCGCACGGAAAGGUAGCUUCGGCCAUCCGGCGAGGGAUGAGCCCGCGGUACAUUAGCUAGUUGGUGGGGUAACGGCCCACCAAGGCGACGAUGUAUAGCUGGUCUGAGAGGAUGAUCAGCCACACUGGGACUGAGACACGGCCCAGACUCCUACGGGAGGCAGCAGUCGGGAAUCUUGCGCAAUGGGCGAAAAGCCUGACGCAGCAACACCGUGUGA
rnacentral:rRNA from 1 species